rnacentral:lncRNA from 1 species
UCCCUCACCUGGCACAUACUAUUGUUGUUCUUCAACCAAGCUUUAUAAACUACUUCUGUAUUCAUGAGAAAUAAAUGUUGUAUUUUACAGAUUAUGCCAUCCUUAAUAAGACUGAUUUCAGUGGGGUGGCAGACUCUACAUUAUUUUGAUUAGCUGCAAGCACAUUUCCUAAUCUUCUCCAGAAGAAGACUAUACAGCAAAAUGGACCUCAAGUCUCCAAAGAAAAUGUUCUUUUGUCCAGAGAAUUAGCAUAUAACAGUUUCAAAGAAUAAAAAUCCUGUAUGCAUGUAGGGGCUGGCUGAAUGAGUUUUACAUACCUGCAAAAUGUUUUCUUGCCUUGUUCUGAUGACAUCAAGCUAUGGGUCCAGCCUGAUGAGAAUUUUCCUUGAAACUAUACGAAAAACAGAAAGGGAAAGGAACGCCUAA